GAAAUGCGAUAAGUAAUGUGAAUUGCAGAAUUCAGUGAAUCAUCGAAUCUUUGAACGCACAUUGCGCCUUUUGGUAUUCCGAAAGGCAUGCCUGUUCGAGCGUCAUUUAAACUCUCAAGCUUUGCUUGGUAUUGGGAGCCGCCCGCCAGGGCGGCCCCGCAACCUGUUGAGCGUGGCAUCGGGACUUCAAACGUAGCAGAAAAACUUUCGUUUAGUCGGCCCCGGCGUCUCCGCCAGACGAACCCCCCAACAUCACUUCAAGUUUGACCUCGGAUCAGGUAGGGAUACCCGCUGAACUUAA
rnacentral:misc_RNA from 1 species